rnacentral:rRNA from 1 species
GAUGAACGCUGGCGGCGUGCCUAAUACAUGCAAGUCGAACGCUUUGUCUUUAAUUGCUCUGAAGAGCUUGCUCUGAUUUGAUUUUAUCUGACAAAGAGUGGCGAACGGGUGAGUAACACGUGGGUAACCUACCUCUUAGCAGGGGAUAACAUUUGGAAACAAGUGCUAAUACCGUAUAACACUAACAACCGCAUGGUUGUUAGUUGAAAGAUGGUUCUGCUAUCACUAAGAGAUGGACCCGCGGUGCAUUAGCUAGUUGGUAAGGUAAUGGCUUACCAAGGCGAUGAUGCGUAGCCGAGUUGAGAGACUGAUCGGCCACAAUGGGACUGAGACACGGCCCAUACUCCUACGGGAGGCAGCAGUAGGGAAUCUUCCACAAUGGGCGCAAGCCUGAUGGGGCAACGCCGCGUGUGUGAUGAAGGGUUUCGGCUCGUAAAACACUGUUAUAAGAGAAGAACGACAUUGAGAGUAACUGUUCAGUGUGUGACGGUAUCUUACCAGAAAGGAACGGCUAAAUACGUG